rnacentral:rRNA from 1 species
ACUGACGGGUCUACCAUGCAGUCGAACGAUGAUCCCCAUGCUUGCUCCGGGGAUUAGUGGCGAACGGGUGAGUAACACGUGAGUAACCUGCCCUUGACUCUGGGAUAAGCCUGGGAAACUGGGUCUAAUACCGGAUAUGACUUCUCAUCGCAUGGUGGGGGGUGGAAAGCUUUUUGUGGUUUUGGAUGGACUCGCGGCCUAUCAGCUUGUUGGUGGGGUAAUGGCCUACCAAGGCGACGACGGGUAGCCGGCCUGAGAGGGUGACCGGCCACACUGGGACUGAGACACGGCCCAGACUCCUACGGGAGGCAGCAGUGGGGAAUAUUGCACAAUGGGCGAAAGCCUGAUGCAGCGACGCCGCGUGAGGGAUGACGGCCUUCGGGUUGUAAACCUCUUUCAGUAGGGAAGAAGCCCCUUUUUUGGGGGUGACGGUUUUUGGAAAAAAAGCCCCCGAUAAAUACGUGCCCACACCCGCGGUAAUACAUAGGGCGCAAGCGUUAUCCAGAAUUAUUGGGCGUAAAGAUCUCAUACGCGGUUUGUCGCGUCUGCUGAGAAACACCGGGUCUCAACUCCUGCUCUGCAGUGGGUACGCGCAGACUAGAGUGCUAUAGGAGACACUGGAACUCGGGGUGUAGCUGAGAAGUGCACAUAUAUCGAGAGGAACACAUGUGGCGAGCGCGUGUCUCUGCUGUGUCUCUCACUCUGAAGAGCGAACGCAUGGAGAGAAAACAAGAAUAUAUACCGUGAUAGUCUGUGCCGUACACGUUGGGCUACUAUGUGUGGGAGACACUACGUUUUUUCUCCGCCGCCGUA